AGGGGAAAUGGCACAUGUUGCGCAAAAGGGAAUAUGACAUUGCAGAUCAAGUUCGGAAUGACACAAUUUCAAGUGUACAACAUCUAAAGACCUGCAUCACUAUACUGAGAGCUGUCUCUAAAAGGACAUAUUUAGGUGUUUUUGGAGCCAUUGUUCAUGUUUUUUCAGGUCCCCAUACUACGCAACCAGGAUAAGGAAGUGAUUUUCUGUUUGAGGCAUAGCGGGAAUGAAUAGGAACGUAUCAGCUGUGUAAGGGCUAUUUGACCAAGAAGGAGAGUGAUGGAGUUAUGCGUCAGAUGACCUGGCCUCCACAAUCACCUGACCUCAACCCAAUUAAAAAAUGGUUGAGCUGGACGGCAGAGUGAAUGAAAAGCAGUCAACAAGUGCUCAGCAUAUGUGGGAACUCCUUCAAGACUGUUGCAAAAGCAAUCCAGGUGAAGCUGGUUGAGAGAAUGCCAAGAGUGUGCAAAGCUGUCAUCAAGGCAAAGGGUGGAUACUUGAUGCAUGAUCCCAUAUGUGUUAUUUCAUAGUUUUGAUGUCUUCACUAUUAAUCUACAGUGUAGAAAAUAGAGAGAAACCCUUGAAUGAGUAGGUGUGUCCAAACGUUUGACUGGUACUAUAUAUUGCUUCAAUGAAAAAACAAGUGCCAUUGAAGAUUGAUUUAUUGAAACUGCAAUAUCAACUGGUUAUAUCCUGGAACAAAAAGGUAUUAACCUCAGCAGUGUGUCGUUUGCUUGUAGAAGCUUAUGGCUGUGCAAUGGCAAAGCCUUGUUUUGUUAGUUUAGCAGACAAGACGCUCAUAUUUCCAGAGCCCUUAUCACAGUCAAGACACCUAUUUUAUAGUAAAAACAUGAUGUAACAUAAGGGAAUAUAAUAGAACAGAAUAGUGUGAAGUGAUUCACAUCUCGCUUCUUAAACAGUUAUUCUCAGAGUGAUCAUUUGAAACAAGGUCUAUUUGGCAAGUUGAAAGACAUUUUUCAGGGUUACAAACCAAAAUCUCCUUUUGAUAUACAUGUCUUAGAUUUAGUUUAUUAUGUAUGUUCCUUGGAAUUUUCUAAAUGGAUUAAAUUGUCCCAAAUGGACAGUACUUCAGUGAACACUCAAGGGGGUGAAUUAUGGCCACGAAUUUUGUUUUGUGUGCAGGCCUAGGCUUAUUGAUUGUGAUGAAAAUGCUCUCUUUGUCUUUAUCAAACAAAUGUUUUUGCAUAUUAUCCAUGUGGAUCCUGUCUAUCUUUAGAGGGGUAAUGCCUCUUUCUACAAUUUUGCUUCUUAGAAUCUGAUUAUAAACCUAACCCUUAACACUAACUUUAACUACACUGUUAACAUUAUGACAAACCUUUUAAAUUCAUGACUUUGUAUAAUAUUUCGAAAUUUACUUACUGUCUAUGGUAACUAGUGACAACCGCAAAGUGGCCUUAGUGGAAAAUUACCCAAUCAUUCCAAAACUGCAGCUCAUUGUUGAAACACAUAUUUCCCUACUUCAAUCAACCAUUCCAUUUGGAAUUUUGCUUGUGUAUCCCAUCAGUUAAAUAUGUUUUUUAAGCAUUUAUCAGCACAAGUGUGUAGAGUGAGCAGUUGUGUCACGUUCUGACCUUUGUUUUGUCUUCAUUUAGUAUGGUCAGGGCGUGAGUUGGGGUGGGUAGUCUAUGUUUGUGUUUCUAUGUUUUUUAUAUUUCUGUGUUUGGCCUGAUAUGCUUCUCAAAUCAGAGGAGGCUGUUUAUUGUUGUCCCUGAUUGAGAACCAUAUUUAGGUCGCCUGGGUUUCACUGUUGGUUUGUGGGUGUUUGUUUCCGUGUUUGUCAUGAUGGUGUCAUCAUCCAGAGAAAGGGAGAAUGUCCUCAGCCAGCUCUAUGCACUCUUAGAGCCAAUAUGCCAAGACAUGUUUUGCUGCAAUUAAGUUUCAGGAAGUUCAACUGCAUCCACCUCUUGAUUGCAUCUAGACAGUCUGCCAGUUAUUUGUUACAGUCCCUAUUUGUCCUUGUAUAUAUUUGUGUCAGCAGAAAAAUUACAGUUCAGUCCAAAUCUAUGGAUAAGUAUACCAUCUGGGAGCAAGUACAGUUGUCACGACUUCUGCCGAAGUUGUUGCCUCUCCUUGUUCGGGCGGUGCUCGGCGUUCGACGUCACCGGUCUUCUAGCCAUCAUUGAUCCAUUUUUCAUUUUCCAUUGGUUUUGUCUUGUCUUCACACACACCUGUUUUCAAUCCCAUUCAUUACCUGUUGUGUAUUUAACCCUCUGUUUCCCCUCAUGUCUUUGUCAGAGAUUGUUUAUUGUCAGUGUAGUGUUUAUUUGUAUAGGUGCGCGACAGGUCUUCGUACUCAUAUUUGUUUAUAUUCAUUUUUCUAUUUAGUGUUAUGGAGCAUGUUACUUGGACAUUUUUUGAAAGACUCCAUUUUACACUCCGUUUGACUCUCCUGCGCCUGACUUCCCUGCCACCUAUACACAUAUCUCUGACAACAGUGCAUUCAGAAAGUAUUCAGAUCCAUCGACUUUUUACUCAUUUUGUUAUGUUACAGCCUUAUUCUAACAUUGAUUAAAUAUUUUUUUUACCUCACCAAUCUAAACACAAUACCCCACAAUGACAAAGUGAAAACAGCCCCUCAGCACUGGAAAGCUCUAGCUUAGGGGUCACCAACCGGCUGAUCUGUAUGGACUGGUGUAGCAUUUCUAGUUGAUCACCAAACAUUUCUAUAAAAAGAACAACGAUAAAGCGUUCCUUUUUUUGUAUUCGUUUCGUGCUGGUAGGUGGUAGGUGCACUUGAUUCAGCAGCCCUAGCAUCUGGAAGGCAAAGUGUUCCCAUUCUGAACCAUUUCAUGGUUCUGAACUCCACAUCCCCAGCGGGCCCAGAGACCUUAUCAAUUGCACCUAUACACUCUUAUAAAAAAGGGAUCUAGAAGGGUUCUUCGGCUCUCCCCAUAGGAUAAACCUUUUUGGUUCCAAAUAGGACCCUUUUUGGUUCCAGGUAGAAUCCUUUUAGGUUACAGACAGAACCCUUUUUUGGUUACAGGUAUAACCCUCUGUGGAAAGGGUUCUACAUGGAACCAAAAAGGUUUCUUCAAAGGGUUCUCCUAUGACUGUUUUUAAUUGUUUAAUGUUGAAUAGGCUUACAUUUUAGACGUACUGUUUUUUUUUUUUUAAGUCUGAUUGUUGAUCUCGGCCUGUAUGUUGAUCUCGGCCUGUAUGUUGAUCUCGGCCUGUAUGUUGAUCUCGGCCUGUAUGUUGCUCUCGGCCUGUAUGUUGAUCUCGGCCUGUAUGUUGAUCUCGGCCUGUAUGUUGAUCUCGGCCUGUAUGUUGAUCUCGGCCUGUAUGUUGCUCUCGGCCUGUAUGUUGAUCUCGGCCUGUAUUUUGACUCAAAGUGAUCUUGCUCUAGCGGUACAUGUCAAGGAGGCAGCUUCAAUUACCUCAUUCAAAAAAUAACUAAUGUUUGAUUGCUUAAAGUCUACCUUUUUCAUUAGUAGGUCAUUUUUUUUAAUGCAUUGUGAUCUUUGUUUCUACUUUUUGAUGUAUUGAUGCUGUUUUUAGUUGUUUAUUUCCCCCUACAUUAUGUUAAUUGAGCUUGGGAAAUGCACUCUACAAAUGAAAUGUUGUUAUUGUUAUCAGUAUAAUAACCCGGGUUUAAUAAUGGUGUAGUUGCUUUUAAAGACUGUGCCCUUUAGCUGGGCACUAUGCUCCGAAGUGGUCAAUACAAUAGUUGAAUUAAAAACAAAUGAUUUAGUGCAACUUGUUUCUAACCAGCAACAUGUAUCACUUCUGAACUUCUACAUGCUCUCUGAGAAGAAUAGCUGACUCAACUUGUCUAAUGGUUUAAAUCAGCUCCUUCUUGGCUAUUAAGAAAUGUUGUUAUACCUGCUUGGCAAAGAGAGCAUGUUUGUUUGUUUAGGGCGUGGAAGUUUUAGUUUGAACGGCUUGUAUUACCCAACCUAUUCACAGAGACAGUGCAGGGAAAGAAUAUCAUUGUUGUAAUAUGAAAUUUCACAUUCAACAAAACCUGAGAUGACAUAGUCUCGGAUAUCCUAAACCAUGGAGCAUCUUAAGCUAUUGCCUGGCUACCCUUCUACAUCACUCUGGCCAACUGAUGUUUCUUCUCCUCUAUGAAUCUGGAUUUGCCUCCCUCCUCAAUGAUUUCUAGAACCCAAACACAUUCUGACUGUUCUGAUUCAUCCCAGAUACCGAUGGGUCUGCAUGAUGACGAUAUCAACUUUGAUACUCUGAUUGGUUGGAUUUGUUAGAAAACCAAUCGCUGAUGAGUUUUUGUACAAUGCCGCUCAUUUUGAAGUCACAGAAACGAUUUUUGAUAUAAGAGUUUCAGACUGAAUGUAGAAUGUAUGUAGCAAUCGACAGAGCAGCAGAAAUACAUUCAGGGGCAAUCGUCAGGCAACGUAAGCUAGGUAACGGCAGAAGGUCUGGGGAGAAUGUCGGCUUCUCUCUGACGUUUCGAAAGGGGAAAUGUGUUUAGGGCAAGAUCCUCUUCAGAUAGACAAGUCUUUUAUCUAUUUUGGGAAGUCAGGGUUUAAAAUACAGGCAGGAAUUCUGCCCAUGUUUAGAAGCAGAUCGUGAUGUUACACGUGACGUGCUUCCCAUUUCCAACUCAUCCUUUCUGUCCCAUGUGACCCUGGAACAUCUACACACGUGUUAAAACUGGAUUAUUGGUACGUUACCAGAAGCAACCAGUCUGUCUAGUGAGAGAUGACAGUCUCAAGCCCAAGCCAAAGUCGUCCUGUAUGUGACAAUCGGUUUUGGUGUUGAUCAUUAAAUCAUUCUGCAUCUUCAUUAUGAUUUGUAUGCAUAAUUGAUAUCUAUUUCUGAACGUUAUAAUGGAACCAUUGUUAAGACAUGGAACUUCUUUCAUGUCAUGUGUUUCAUAAUAAAUUGUGUAAUAUAUGUUGGAGCAAACCCUUCAAAUAUAAGGAGAAAUAUAUCAUAUGCUUAGCUUCUACAAUAUUUGAACUAUAAAUGAAUAAUAUGUUAUCAUAAAAACUAA